ACCUGGUAUUGCAGUACCUCCAGGAACGGU
rnacentral:piRNA from 3 species